rnacentral:rRNA from 1 species
UGGGGAAUAUUGCACAAUGGGGGAAACCCUGAUGCAGCAACGCCGCGUGAGUGAAGAAGUAUUUCGGUAUGUAAAGCUCUAUCAGCAGGGAAGAAAAUGACGGUACCUGACUAAGAAGCACCGGCUAAAUACGUGCCAGCAGCCGCGGUAAUACGUAUGGUGCAAGCGUUAUCCGGAUUUACUGGGUGUAAAGGGAGCGCAGGCGGCAUGGCAAGUCCGAUGUGAAAACCCAGGGCUCAACCCUGGGACUGCAUUGGAAACUGUCAGGCUAGAGUGUCGGAGAGGUAAGUGGAAUUCCUAGUGUAGCGGUGAAAUGCGUAGAUAUUAGGAGGAACACCAGUGGCGAAGGCGGCUUACUGGACGACAACUGACGCUGAGGCUCGAAAGCGUGGGGAGCAAACAGG